AGUGAACGCUGGCGGUAGGCCUAACACAUGCAAGUCGAACGGCAGCACAGUAAGAGCUUGCUCUUACGGGUGGCGAGUGGCGGACGGGUGAGGAAUACAUCGGAAUCUACUUUUUCGUGGGGGAUAACGUAGGGAAACUUACGCUAAUAUCGCAUACGACCUACGGGUGAAAUCAGGGGAUCUUCGGACCUUGCGCGAUUCAAUGAGCCGAUGUCGGAUUAGCUAGUUGGCGGGGUAAAGGCCCACCAAGGCGACGAUCCGUAGCUGGUCUGAGAGGAUGAUCAGCCACACUGGAACUGAGACACGGUCCAGACUCCUACGGGAGGCAGCAGUGGGGAAUAUUGGACAAUGGGCGCAAGCCUGAUCCAGCCAUACCGCGUGGGUGAAGAAGGUCUUCGGGUUGUAAAGCCCUUUUGUUGGGGAAGAAAAGCAGCAGGUGAAUACCCCGCUGUUCUGACGGUACCCAAAGAAUAAGCAACGGCUAACUUCGUG
rnacentral:rRNA from 1 species